CUCCCAGGCCAGAAGCCACAGGAAGCAUCCAACCAGUAUCCCAGAGAAGGGAGGGAUCCUACCAGUGGAAAUCACUUCUCCUACUCCGGGUGAAACUUCAACUUUGAUAGGAAGAGUUGAUCCAGGGAAGAAAAGGCAAAACACCCCGCUUUUUAAGCCUGAUGACUAUAUGCUCAAUGCUGAGCCAACGUUAACGCUGCCAACCUUACCGAGCGUAAUAGAGUUUGAAGAGGAUUAUCUAGCCCGAAGGAAAACGAGUAGCGACAGCUUCAGGAAAGUUUCCCAUUUCCAUUGUGAUACCUCUGCUGCGACUGAUAUUAUCCUGCUGGUGGAUGGAUCUUGGAGUAUCGGACGCAACAAUUUUGGACUCAUUCGAGAAUUCCUGGCAUCUUUGCUGGCACCUUU